rnacentral:rRNA from 1 species
GGCAGCAGUGGGGAAUAUUGCACAAUGGGCGAAAGCCUGAUGCAGCAACGCCGCGUGAGGGAUGAAGGUUCUAGGAUUGUAAACCUCUUUGAUCAGGGAAGAAGCCGCAAGGUGACGGUACCUGAAGAACAAGCCCCGGCUAACUACGUGCCAGCAGCCGCGGUAAUACGUAGGGGGCAAGCGUUGUCCGGAAUCAUUGGGCGUAAAGAGCGCGUAGGCGGUCUGUCAAGUCCGGUGUGAAAUCUCGAGGCCUAACCUCGAGCGUGCAUCGGAAACUGUCAGACUAGAGUUCGGCAGGGGAAACUGGAAUUCCAAGUGUAGCGGUGAAAUGCGCAGAUAUUUGGAAGAACACCGGUGGCGAAGGCGGGUUUCUGGACCGCAACUGACGCUGAGGCGCGAAAGCUAGGGGAGCGAACAGGAUUAGAUACCCUGGUAGUCCUAGCCGUAAACGAUGGAUGCUAGCCGUCGGCAAGCUUGCUUGUCGGUGGCGCAGCUAACGCAUUAAGCAUCCCGCCUGGGGAGUACGGCCGCAAGGUUAAAACUCAAAGGAAUGACGGAAUCGUCGACUGCAGGACC